rnacentral:rRNA from 1 species
UGGGGAAUAUUGGACAAUGGGCUAAAGCCUGAUCCAGCCAUGCCGCGUGUGUGAAGAAGGUCUUCGGAUUGUAAAGCACUUUAAGUUGGGAGGAAGGGCAGUAAGCGAAUACCUUGCUGUUUUGACGUUACCGACAGAAUAAGCACCGGCUAACUCUGUGCCAGCAGCCGCGGUAAUACAGAGGGUGCAAGCGUUAAUCGGAAUUACUGGGCGUAAAGCGCGCGUAGGUGGUUCGUUAAGUUGAAUGUGAAAGCCCCGGGCUCAACCUGGGAACUGCCUCCAAAACUGGCGAGCUAGAGUAGGGCAGAGGGUGGUGGAAUUUCCUGUGUAGCGGUGAAAUGCGUAGAUAUAGGAAGGAACACCAGUGGCGAAGGCGACCACCUGGGCUCAUACUGACACUGAGGUGCGAAAGCGUGGGGAGCAAACAGG